UAGAAGCGCGCAGGCCCACGGACCUACACCCUCACUCCCAGGAAUCUCUCCUAACGGGCCCGGAUGUUCAUCCCAGCACUCUCUGCGGAAGCUGGCUGCAAGCUAAAAGACUAAAAUUGGGACCACAGGAACAAUGCAAAGGCCAAAUAUGCAAAGUGAUUUCGACACCCAGUGUGGGGCUUGAACUUACAACCCCGAGAUCAAGAGUCCCGCACUCUACGGACUGACCCAGUCAGGUGCCCCCAGAAUGUGCUAUGGGCCUUGCUUCCUAGACUGUCGUGGUGAUAGUCAGAAGCCUGACCAUUUCUUGGAAGAAGACCUCCAGGCCGACCUCCCCAUGUCUCCACCCCAAUUCAGCCAUCUAGAAUCACCUGGCAAGCUGUGCUCAGGUACUAGUGAACACAGGCUGGUACCUUUGCUACCUGAUAACGCAACAGUCCUGUGAUUUAGACCCUUCACUUCACCUCUGAGAAUUAAGAGUGGAGAAGUCACUUUCUCAAGGUGACAUAUGAGCCUUUCCGAAGACAGAGAAGGAUGGAAGGAAUCAGCAAGAGGAGCCCACAAUGACCUCAACGACUACAGGGCCCACAUGCUUUAACUUGGACAGACCCA